AGUCCUAGCUUGCUAGGGCUGUUAGUGGCGCACGGGUGAGGAACGCGUGGGAAUCUACCUUAUAGUACGGAAUAACAUUCAGAAAUGAAUGCUAAUACCGCAUAAUACCUCCGGGUCAAAGAUUUAUCGCUAUGAGAUGAGCCCGCGCUAGAUUAGCUUGUUGGUGAGGUAAAAGCUCACCAAGGCUACGAUCUAUAGCUGGUCUGAGAGGAUGACCAGCCACACUGGGACUGAGACACGGCCCAGACUCC
rnacentral:rRNA from 1 species